AUACAAAUAAAAUUUGAUUUGAUAAUUUCCCAGAUGACACUUCAUGACAACAAACAUUCUUGUUCUUGUUCGUCUUCUGCACACAGAUUCUGCGUUCAGCUGCUCUUAAUUUAAUUCAGUUUUUGCUCCUUACAGACAAAGCAAAUUAAACCAUCAAAGAAGAUGGAGCUGAUUGAAGAAAAGAAAUGUUUUAUCCAUUCUCAAACUAGAGUAGCUGCAACAUGUUGCUUCACAGUUUGCCUCUUUGGAUUUACAUUCCUCCAAGUGAUGGGAUCUGCUGUGAAAUCAAUAUCAUAUUUUAGUUUUCAAUAUGUUUUAUUGAAGGUGGAAGAAAAUGUGUCGUAUUCAUGUGUGUGUAUUGCCACGCAUACUUGAUUGAAUCGGAUCCAAUUUAUCUGGACUGCUGGUUAAAAACAGUCCACAAUCUAUCUUUUUACUGAGACUUUUCUAAGCACUUUGUAAGAUAUGUGACCUUUGAGAACCACUGCAGAUCACCACAGAUAUUCAUAUUUCCACAUUUUCACUCAGAUUUCAUAAGCAACUUGGUGUUAUUAGGAGACAUGACAAAGUUUAUAUAUGAAGUCAAACUGGGUUUAGAGGUUCAGCUGUAAAUAGUACUGGUACCUGCUGCUCUCUGUGCUGCAUUAACCUAUAUAAACAGCAUGAUGUUCUAGCUCUACUUUUGCACUUCUUUUUCCUUUAAUUGGGUCGAUAAAGGGGAAAUAAGUCAGAACUUUUAUCCAUGAGGUCGUUAGUGUCUAUAAACCGAGUCCAGCUCCUGAUGAAGGCUAUUCUUUGCUCUCGACCAGCUAGGAGUUGGUGUUGGAAUCGGUCCUGCCUUAUGAUGCAUGAACUGAACAGAAAGACAAACAGCUAAGUCAGAACUGGUUCUUAUCUGCACAAGAUCCAAGAUGCUUGGAUGGAAGCAUCCAAGCAUAAUCAGAGAAGGUUUAGUGGAAGAAAAAAAGAGGGAGUGUGUUAGAAAAAUGUCCUCAGGUUAAUGCUGCUUCCAGUUUGUUACCUGGAUUUGAUGUCAGAUGUGAGGUAACAGCAUUCUAGUUCUAGAUGUUGAGAUUUCAAAAUGGCGGCGCCCAUAAACAUCGUUAGCAAAAGCUUUCUAAACAUCAUUUUAAACUUUACUUUCCAAAAGCAAACAUCACUUUUAAUUUGUUCAGUUUAGAGUUGUAAAAUUGAUUUCAGACACACUCAUGUGAGUCUUGUAAAAUAAACAGGAUUCCACCACAGACUACUAGUCUGGAUGAGAGGAGCGGCCAUAUUGAAACGUAUGGCCGCUCCACUACUCCCAGUUAGAAAGUUCUAACUGGGAGUAGUGGAGAUGCUCCAAGUUUCCCAGUAGGAAAUCCGUUUUAUAAGUUAAAAUGUCUUGUUCCACUGGCAGAUUUCACUUUUAAUUAGCACUUUUCAUCAAUAUAAAGAAGUUAUCCACUUAAAGCAAGCUCAUAUUGCUUGCUGAAAACCUUCUUACAAGUUAUUUUUGUCUUAUUUCAAGUGUUAUAACACAUUUGAACUAAAAAUUAGAUAAAUACACUUGGUUAGAGCUUGAAUUUUUGCAGUGAAGUUGAUGGCUGCUGUUAAAACAAAAGGUCGAUGUAAAAAAAAAAGAGACCAGACCAAGUGUUAGCAUUCACCGUUCAGUACACGGACAUGUGUUUCAGUAGGAUGACAUUUUUGUGCUGAAAAUCUGAUUUCUGUUAGUUUUAUGCAAUAUUCAAAUUUGGAGAGAAUUCAUCAAAAUUAGGAGAAGUAUUUGAAAUAUAAGCUAUACAUUGAAGCAAGUUAUUUAAUUUUCCAUUGAUAUCUUUUGUCGGUUUUUUUUUGUCCUGGUUUUGAAUAUCUGGAGUUUUCAGCUCGUUUCCAGGUGGAAGCCGGAGAGUGGAACAAAUCUCCGUACAAUUUAAUCUCUCUCCCUCAGUGUUUCCUGCAAGAAUCGGCUUAUAGCUCACCUCCACGGCUCGCUGUACGUGUCAGAUUUAGUUAAACAGAAUCGCUGCUAAUCAUCGCCCCCAGCUCACAUACUUUUGUUAAUUUUGUGUAAGUAGAGCCGUGUGUGUUUAGAUAAAGACUCACACGAUGCAGUCUCCUGGGUUGACACUGAGCAAGUGUGUUUGAAUAUCAUUAAAACCGCUGCUGUAUCUUAUCGGUGGGUGCAUGUGUGUGUGUGUGUGUGUGUGUGUGUUAGCUCGCGCCUUGUGGAAAUGUGCAGACAAAGGAGUUUGUGCAACGCCAUUAGUCACAGGGCGAACAGUUCAGAGAUAGCUGAGUCAUUUGUGUUUGAGAGAGACACUUCAAAGAUGGCAGGCGCGCUGGAGUCCCUGCUCGUUAACGUCUUCUCCUCCGAGAACGUCUUCCGCUGAAACUCGCUGAUUGUUGAAGUGUGGGACACGUAAAGACAACGGCAGAGUGUGUGGUUCCCUCAGAUCUGUUGGAUGGAGUUUGGAACAGCGUGACACAUUUCUCUUCAUUCACGUGUCGAGCUUCUGCGAGGCUGCCAAACGGGCUUCUGGCUGACGGCCUCUGACGUGCAGCACGAGGCUCUACCUGGCUGAUUGCUGACGCGGAGGAAGGAGAACAGAUACGAGGAUGAAAGGAAGACAGAGAGAGAGCAGGGCUUUGUUUCCAUCCUCAAUCUUCUCUGAAGGACUCCGUCAGAUCCCAAAUAUGUAAUAUUCCUGGAUCCACAUUGACAUCAAGACUGUUGAUAUUUGUUGAUGAACCAGACACCACUGACUUUCUGGGAGCAAUAUCAGAUAUAUUAACUCUGAACCUUCAAAUAUUUUCUUGAAAAAAGUUUGUUUAAAAGAAAAAGCAGCAGAACUCAACUCCAUCUGAUCUCAAUAACGUCGCACCCAGCAAAACCAUCAAUCCCAGUUAUUGGAAGUACAAUUAUGAGCAGAUAAUGGCCUUCGAAGAAAAAUGCCGGGGUCUGAGAAAGGAGGCAAUUACAUGUUUCUGAUCCUAUGCGGCCCAAACAUGAGGGCUCGUGUACAAGAAUUUCAUUUGAAACCAGUUUUUCAGCUUCAUGGUGGCUCUGGAGGAAUCUAAGGGUGAAUGAUGUUUGCUGGGAUGAUAUUAUAUAAAUAUAACCUACAGAAGGCUGUAGAAACCUCCUGUGUUUCACAGCUUUUCACUUCAAUCAGAGUAAUAUUUGUUGAGACGCCACCUGCAGUUCCUGAGGCCCACCCUAUGAAGCAUCAGGUAAUAUAAAGUCAAAUAUCUGAAGCCCUUUUUAGACAAUAAUUGGAAAGAAAAAGGCUAAAAAUGAACAAGAUCUGAGCUAAUUUUUAAAUAUUGUAAUUGUUUUUGAUGCAGUCACUUUAAAUACUUUGUUACUGUUGCCUACAAAGGUCCUACAGGGGUGGAUGUUGGUUAUUAGUUAUGGCUACAAACACUGUGAUGCAAUAAUUAGAUUGUGUUGAUGUAUGUUUCUGUAUCACCCUGACUGGUUUCUGUAGUGGACAAGAUGAUGACCACUGAUCACAGGCGUUGAACUCAUUUUCAUUCUGGGCCGUAUCAAAAAUCUGAAUGUUCUUAAAGGGCCAGCUGUGCCAGAAUGUCUUGAUAAACCCCAUUAAACUGUUAAAAUGUUAA